rnacentral:rRNA from 1 species
UACGUAGGGGGCAAGCGUUGUCCGGAUUUAUUGGGCGUAAAGAGCGUGUAGGCGGCCAUACAGGUCAGCUGUGAAAACUCGAGGCUCAACCUCGAGACGUCGGUGGAAACCGUUUGGCUAGAGUCCGGAAGAGGAGAGUGGAAUUCCCGGUGUAGCGGUGAAGUGCGCAGAUAUCGGGAAGAACACCCGUGGCGAAGGCGGCUCUCUGGGACGGUACUGACGCUGAGACGCGAAAGCGUGGGGAGCGAACAGG